rnacentral:tRNA from 1 species
GCGGAAGUGGCGGAACUGGUAGACGCGCACGUUUGAGGGGCGUGUGGGGCAACCCGUGAGGGUUCGAGUCCCUCCUUCCGCA